GGAGUUAGCCGGUGCUUCUUCUGCGAGUAACGUCACAGAUGUAAGGUAUUAACUUACACCCUUUCCUCCUCGCUGAAAGUGCUUUACAACCCGAAGGCCUUCUUCACACACGCGGCAUGGCUGCAUCAGGGUUUCCCCCAUUGUGCAAUAUUCCCCACUGCUGCCUCCCGUAGGAGUCUGGGCCGUGUCUCAGUCCCAGUGUGGCUGAUCAUCCUCUCAGACCAGCUAGGGAUCGUCGCCUAGGUGAGCCUUUACCUCACCUACUAGCUAAUCCCACCUGGGCUUAUCCAUCAGCGCAAGGCCCGAAGGUCCCCUGCUUUCCCCCGUAGGGCGUAUGCGGUAUUAGCAGUCGUUUCCAACUGUUAUCCCCCACAAAUGGGCAAAUUCCCAGGCAUUACUCACCCGUCCGCCGCUCGUCAUCUUCAAAAGCAAGCUUUUGAAAUGUUACCGCUCGACUUGCAUGUGUUAGGCCUGCCGCCAGCGUUCAAUCUGAGCCAUAAUCAAACCUCUCGA
rnacentral:rRNA from 1 species